rnacentral:rRNA from 1 species
AUGGAUCAUGGCCGAUGGGAGAGUACGCCAUCGUUGAUCCAUUGCUUAGGUUGGUGGCGCAUGGGUCGGGUCUGGGCAGAAGGCCGGCACCUGCAGGGGAAAACGGCGGGGGUUGGUGCAGCGGAAAGUGAGGAUGGGUUGGUCGUAGAGGGAGGCUCGCCGGCCAAAACAACCGGAGCAAGGAGGCAGUGUCGCCAUGGAGGAAGGCCCACUGGCCGGAGCAGCAGGAGCAACUGCAGCCGCUGGUCGGCCCGACGCACCGCCUCCUCUGCUGCGGCCCGCACGGUCAAGAGGGGCAGCUGCACCGUAGCUGGCGGCGAGUUCGGCGGCCGCCGCCUCCUCUCCUCUUCGAAUCCACAGGUGCCUAUGUGUUGUUCCCCUCGGUUGGAUUGUUCAUCCUUCUUCGCCGGUGGGGUGCUCGUCCAUUGCAGUAGCCUUCGUGUGCUGGAUGAACACUGCCGGUUGAGGUUGGUUUCUUCCCGUUGUGUCCUGCAUCGACAGUCGCAUCUUUCUGCCAUUGCCAUUGAGGUCUUUCUCCGUUUGUCUAGUAGGUUCAACGAUCUGCUAGGUUGCUGCAUCUGCAACUCUGUGUUGUUGUUCAUGGUUUGCUUUAUUCUUUCUUCCCUACAUGAUUGUUCUUUCUCGCUACACACAUGCUUCUCUUUCUCUAAGUGCCGUAAUACUGUUGUGAUGUCUCUAGCUACAUGCAUUUACCUUUCUUUGUCGGUCUAA